rnacentral:rRNA from 1 species
UACAGAGGGUGCAAGCGUUAAUCAGAAUUACUGGGCGUAAAGCGUGCGCAGGCGGUUUUGCAAGCCGGAUGUGAAAUCCCCGGGCUCAACCUGGGAAUGGCAUUCGGGACUGCAAGGCUGGAGUGCGGCAGAGGAGACUGGAAUUCCUGGUGUAGCAGUGAAAUGCGUAGAUAUCAGGAGGAACACCGGUGGCGAAGGCGGGUCUCUGGGCCGAUACUGACGCUGAGGAGCGAAAGCGUGGGGAGCGAACAGG